CCAACGUGGAUACUCCCGGGAGGUCACUCUCCCCGGGCUCUGUCCAGGUGGUGUAGGGGAGCAUAGGGCUCUGCCCCGUGACGUACAGUCCCUUUCCACGACGUUGGAGAUGAAGCCGGGCCUUGCGUCUGCGCCUGCAUAUUCCUACAGCUUCUCAGAGUCCUGUGGAUGAUGACUGAGGAGACAAACCAUGCAGGAAACAUCU
ensembl:snoRNA SNORA73 Small nucleolar RNA SNORA73 family